rnacentral:rRNA from 1 species
AAAUUGAAGAGUUUGAUCAUGGCUCAGAUUGAACGCUGGCGGCAGGCCUAACACAUGCAAGUCGAACGGUAACAGGAAGCAGCUUGCUGCUUUGCUGACGAGUGGCGGACGGGUGAGUAAUGUCUGGGAAACUGCCUGAUGGAGGGGGAUAACUACUGGAAACGGUAGCUAAUACCGCAUAACGUCGCAAGACCAAAGAGGGGGACCUUCGGGCCUCUUGCCAUCGGAUGUGCCCAGAUGGGAUUAGCUAGUAGGUGGGGUAACGGCUCACCUAGGCGACGAUCCCUAGCUGGUCUGAGAGGAUGACCAGCCACACUGGAACUGAGACACGGUCCAGACUCCUACGGGAGGCAGCAGUGGGGAAUAUUGCACAAUGGGCGCAAGCCUGAUGCAGCCAUGCCGCGUGUAUGAAGAAGGCCUUCGGGUUGUAAAGUACUUUCAGCGGGGAGGAAGGGAGUAAAGUUAAUACCUUUGCUCAUUGACGUUACCCGCAGAAGAAGCACCGGCUAACUCCGUGCCAGCAGCCGCGGUAAUACGGAGGGUGCAAGCGUUAAUCGGAAUUACUGGGCGUAAAGCGCACGCAGGCGGUUUGUUAAGUCAGAUGUGAAAUCCCCGGGCUCAACCUGGGAACUGCAUCUGAUACUGGCAAGCUUGAGUCUCGUAGAGGGGGGUAGAAUUCCAGGUGUAGCGGUGAAAUGCGUAGAGAUCUGGAGGAAUACCGGUGGCGAAGGCGGCCC